UACGACUACAUAUCAGGCAUAUCAAUAAGCGGAGGAAAAGAAACUAACAAGGAUUCCCUUAGUAACGGCGAGUGAAGCGGGAAGAGCUCAAAUUUGAAAUCUUCAAGGUUUUACCUCGACGAAUUGUAGUUUAAAGAAGUGUUUUCUGUUGAAGUUUUGGUAAAAGUUCUUUGGAAUAGGACAUCAUAGAGGGUGAGAAUCCCGUAUUUGACCAUUAUUUUCAGCUGUGUGAUACACUUUCAAGGAGUCGGAUUGUUUGGGAAUGCAGUCCAAAAUGGGUGGUAAAUUUCAUCUAAAGCUAAAUAUUGGCGAGAGACCGAUAGCGAACAAGUACCGUGAGGGAAAGAUGAAAAGGACUUUGAAAAGAGAGUUAAACAGUACGUGAAAUUGUCAAAAGGGAAGCGUUUGACACCAGUGUUGUUUUCUCGAAAAUCAAUUAAAAAAAGUUGGAUUUUGUGUUGUAUUGACCUUAACAGCUUGCUUCACUCUUUUCAGCUUUUUUUAAUGCACUUUUCGUUUAACAAGUCAACAUCAGUUUCUUUUGUUGUAAAAGGGUCAUUGGAAGGUGGCUUUCUCUUCGGAGAAAGUGUUUAUAGCCUUUGAUCUCUGCAAUCGGAGAGACUGAGGUCUGCAGCGUAGAUCCUUCGGGGUUAGAUACAUUUGUGCUAAGCUACUAGCUUUCAUAGACAACUUGUUGACUAUGAUUAGUCAUUGUAGACUUACCUCGCUUAUGCUAUUUUACCUACGCUUAGGAUGUUGAGCGCAUGUCUCUCUCU
rnacentral:rRNA from 1 species